rnacentral:rRNA from 1 species
UACGUAGGUGGCAAGCGUUGUCCGGAUUUACUGGGCGUAAAGAGCGCGCAGGCGGUCGUACAAGUCGCGUGUGAAAGCCCCCGGCUCAACUGGGGAGGGUCACGCGAUACUGUUCGACUCGAAGGCAGGAGAGGGAAGUGGAAUUCCCGGUGUAGUGGUGAAAUGCGUAGAUAUCGGGAGGAACACCAGUGGCGAAGGCGGAUCUCUGGGCCGUAACUGACGCUGAGGAGCGAAAGCAUGGGGAGCGAACAGG